CCGCUCUGUCUGUCCCCCCUCAAAAAAAGAAAAAGAAAAAAACUGUCACCGCUGCACACUGAGACGGACCGCCGCUGGAGGGGGGGGAGUCGCGGCCGCCGCCGGCCGCUGGGAAGAAGACGGCCUCGCCGGCAGGACGUGCGCGGCUCCCUUCCGCCGAAGAGCUCCGACCGGAGGACAAGUGUGCUGCAUAUUUGUAUUACCAAGGUGAAAAACACAGGGCAGUUUAACCAACAGCUCAAGGCGGUCGAAUAUGAUGCGUGUAAAUGAGUGCCCUCACAGAAGAUACAUCAUCUGAGUCCCAAGAUAGAUCCUUGUACUUUGAUGAAAACCAAAUCAUAUAUAAUGUGGUUUCUUCCAUAUACAAGAGCACAGGUUUUACACCCCCCAAAAGAAAUGUCACUAACUGCUAUGUGGUGCGGUGGACAUGGCUAUGGCUCCUGCUCCAGUGUGCGCCUGAUCCACCUCUUCUUCCCCCUCCCCAACUAUCCUCUUCCAGAACCAGUGCUUCCUCCACACCUGCUCCAUCUGCUCCAUGGGCAGCUGCUUCGUCUCCGGCAGGAAGAAGAAGACGAACAGCGUCAUCACGCACACCCACCCGCCAAACAGGAAGAAG